GUUCCUUCAAGAGCAAGUGAAAGCUAGUGAAGAGGAAACAAACAGUACAGUUUAAAUCCCAUUAUAGAGGUAUUGAGAGGAUGCGUUGGGAGCAGGCAAGAAGAAUUACCAUGGGAAAAUCUGAGAAACAUUUUUAAGGGGAUGAAGAAUAGGAAAUUAUCGUAAGACACACUGGGAGAGAUACUGCUCAUGUCAAUUGGAAGAGCAACAUAAAAACAUGAAGAUGGCAACAAGGGCACUCCUCCAGCAGAAUCCUAGUUUCUAUCAGUCAAGGCGUAUAUAAUCAGAAACAGAACUCUGCAUGCAACAAGAUAUGGGCAUCCCAUCCGACACAGAGUUCUGCCACUAUUCAUGCACUAUGGCGGGGUCCAGCAACCCUUCCAUGCCUCUCAUCUUUGUCUCUUCUUUUCCUCUUCCAAUGUUCCCACUGUCAUUUCAGGCCUUGUUAUUUUCACCUGGGCCAUCAAUAGCCUCCUAACUGGUCCCCUGCCUCUAGUUCUAGCUCUAUUUUCCUAAAAUCUAUUUUUGCCUAUGGUGCUCUCUUGAACUGCAGCAUCCACUGUCUUCCAUUCCUAUCAUCUAUCAAAUGAAAUAUGAGCUGGUAUUUGGCAGCCCUCUUCCUCUACACCUAAAUAUACAGCCUAUGUUCUAGUCUAGCUACAAAGCUUUGCCUUGCUUUUCCUUCCGCCUAUAUAUUUUUUCCUUAUCUCUGCUUUUCAAAUUCCACCCUCUCAUUAAGACCUAACUCAAAGGCACCUGCUGUAGGAAUCUUUCUCUAGUUACACCCACUGAAAAUGACCUCUGUCUUCUAGGGUCUAUAAUCCAGACAUCUAUCUGAUAUUAUAACCUCCGUGAGAGGCUUUAACCAUUACUAGAUUAUAAAAUGAUUGAAAACAGAUUCUGGUGUUGUUCCUUUUUCACCAAACACAUAGAGUUUUGUUGCUGGCAGGUGAUUAAUAAAUAUUAAUUAAGUGAACAAGACAGCCCUGGAGCAAUUCUACUGAAACUUUGGGUUUAAGAACAGUUAGGGAAAGCUCAGAAAUAGUCUACUGGUUAUAGCUCAUCUCUAGUUUCAGGUCUUACAAAAUAUUCUACUUAAAGAUGCUAUGACAAUUUAAAUUUCAUGUAUGAAGCUAAGCAAUAAUUAUGUCCAAUAUGGCCUUAUUGGCUGCCCCAGAAUUCUAAAAACUGCAAAAGAAUUUGUGUCUCAUUUUACAAGGUCUAACAAUUUACUCACAUUUCUACCACUGAACAAUUCAAAGCUCAUCUUUGAUGGCACAUGGCAACAUUUGCCACCCACAAACCUAGGAUAGCCAGUUAAUGUCUCAGUCUUCAUUGCCACAUUUGGUCUUGCCCAGAGGGGACAAAUUUUAUUCUUCCUCUUCACACAAUCAUGUUUCAUAGGGCAAGUUAAAAAACAAUGUGAAGCAUUUGAAAGUUAUAAGACCAGCAACAGGAAAGCGAGGAAAACCUGCUGCCUGUCAUGAAAAACAUGAAGCCAUUUUGCCAAGUUAACAAAGAACGAAGAGGUGCAAUGUUGCAAUGGGGAAGGCAAAUGUAUGAUUUCUUUUCUGCUUAACUCUGUGCAAGCUUUUCCCUUAGCUCUGUGCAUGUCUUUCCUUUCUUAUAUGACUUCAGGCUAGUCAUUUCACUUAUUCAUACAUGGCUUGCAGAGAGUACCACCUCCCAACCUCCUACUCCUACCUCCCAGGCUACAGGCAUGCCAGUUGCUAAUGCUCCGAGAUCUCCCCAGCCUGGCCCAGACUCCCACACGAUGAGAUGUCCUCUGUGCAAUUUGUACAGCACCUUUCUCAAGCAUGGAGACAUUGCACGACCCAGCAGUGAACAAUGAGGCAGCAGGAGGCAGCACCAACGGGCGACAUCUAACACGUUCAGGAAAAACAAAAUUAAGCAGCGAAGCUCUUUAGAGCAACAGAGGCUUUUAAAGAGAGUUCUCUCAGGUAAUGUAAGCGGCUGCUUUCUCACCGCUCUCACAAGGGCAUGCCAUGGGGCCAAACGAGCAAUCCCUCCAGCCCCAGGAGAAAGAGCUGAGCUGCAAUGAGGACCAAAUCCAUUUAUUUUUAUGUCUCAAUGAAAAUACUGGAUAGUUUGUAAAUCACACAUGCUCUGAUCGCAUUCCUUUUAAGAAUACACAGCAGAUUUAUUCACAUAGGGGAAGCAAUUGAUCAGCCUCCCUGCACAGAGAUUCUUAGAUGAAUGUGGCUGUUCGGUUUCUUACUAAAUUAGGAGCUGCAGAGCAAGUGUGACCAGAGAUGGGGUGCUGAGAAGGCACAGGUAUUAUGUGGAAAAUUUGGCGUGCGUACCAUAAGGACUAUGCAGUUGAGAAACAACGUUCAUGUCUGGUCAGUUUUAAUUUCUGAACAUGGCUUACAAUCUCCAGUUCAACCACAUGUUGUCCUCCAAUUAAACCAUACCAUGUAAGGCCCUGAUGGGACGAAUACAGAGAAAUCACAUUUUCCACACUGCUGUCAGGAGCAGAACAGAAUGGUAAUUUUGCAUUUGGUUUUGUUUGUCAGCCUGCAUUUUAAUGUAUUUUCUAAUAUGACCACCUGAUCCAGAACCAAACCCACAUUGUUCUCUCUGAUAAGACUGGGGAAUAAAUUCCUCCAAGGCAUCUUUGCAAAGGGACUUAUCUCUUUAAGUUUGCUGAGUUUCUGAGUGGGUGGAAUAGGUUAUGCUUUGCAUUUCAAGAAACAGAAUGAAAUGCCACCAACAACACAGAAUUUCAAUACUGGCAUUGCCGGAGCUCAGAGCGUGCUCUUUAAAGAAAAUGUAAGAUUUAACCCACACCUGAGAUAUGAGUCUUUAUGACUGUUAGUUGGAUGUUUGAGUCAUUAUUUUAAAAUGGCCAUCAACACAGUGCAUAUUUACUUAGUAGCUUUGUUGUGUUUUAGUUGCUAAAUGACUGGGGCUAGGUGGUGUUGGCUUUGUACGUGAGAACAAAAAGGACUUUAAAAAAUUUUUCAGUUUCUAAUCUACUGUGACAGCAUAAUAACUAUGUAGUCUAAGGAUUAAGAGUACAGGCUCUGUAGAAAGACUUGGUUCAAAUCCAGGCUCCGUCUCUCAGGCAGACUACUUCAUCCCUCCAUGUCUCAAUUUUCACGUGCUUGAAAUGGUGUGACAACAACCUCAUAGGAUGAGCGUGAGAAUUAAAUAAGUCAUCUUAAGUGCUUAGCACUGUGCUUUAGAGAAAAAGUGCACAUAAAUGUCCAUUUUUAUUAUGAUUAAGGUUCAGAUUAACAUGACUGAAUGCCUGAGAACUACCAGCAACAUGCCAGCUCCUGUUUUUGAAAACCUUACCUCUAGGAAAGUAGCACAUUAUCUUUUCAUCUUAUCACUAAAGAAGAUUUUACGUUGGAGGUCUUCAGCCCUCUUUUUAGUUUAUUUAAGGACUUAUCUUCCUUUAUUGUCUCCCUUUCUGUGCUCAUCUCCCUUUAACCAGAGGUUACUGCCUCCUCUGUAGGAUCUAUGACCUUGUUACUCAUUUAGCCCCUAACACUCAUAAUUGCGUUACUAUUUAUUUUUUUAUUUGUUUUACAUUAAUGUCCUUCGUUUCCUUACCUAGAGUGAAGCCUCUUUGAGAAGAGGCAGCAGAUCUGCGUAAACCACCCCUCACCUAAUGAAUUUUUCCUUAGGAUAUAAAGGAAUAGGAACCAGCUCUUAGAAAAAUAAGUCUGUUGCCUCAAGUACUUUCCUAAGCUUAAAGAGAAUUUGAAAACCUUGCACAUCUUCCACACACUCAGGCCUGCUUCAGUAUUUGUCAAGGCCUCAGCCACCCUGAAGAUAUUGUCAAGACAAAAGACUACAGAGGUGAGAGGAGUAGAAGAUUAGAAAGACAUAUUUCAGCACUUCACAAUUGCAUUUUAAGCCUCUUCACAAAAGUAUCUCCCUGCACAUGGGAGGAUAGGCUAAAAAUGUUAAUUUAGGAAUUCCAGGCAAAGACGCUAUGAGCUGAUACAUAAAAUUCUAUCUGUCUGUCUAUCCAUCCAUCCAACCUACCUACCUUCCUACCUACUUACUUACCUAUGUCUAUCAAAUAGUCAAUGGCUCCUUGUGGUAUUCGUGCAAGAAUACAGCAAAUUUGAAGUCAUAUUUUUUACACUAUUCUGAUCAUCAUAAUAAGAAAGCCAGUUGGCCAUAAACAUAACUAGGGCUCUGAUGAAUGCAGCCUAAGUUGUUGCUCUCAGCAGUUGACACAUAGCCUUCUGCACCUACACACGAACGACUCUGCCGAAUCUCGCUUUCAUCAUUGUGCUGCUUGCACAAUCAUUGGGAAACAACCGCAGCUUUGUGGGUAUGGACCGAAUGCCAGCAGUGAGGAGUGCACUUCCAGUGUGUUUGCCACUGUUUUCUUUAAUGAUUUCUCAAGUGAAUAUGGUCUCUGUCCUUCUGUUCUUUAGAAGGUAUAUGUUGAGCUUCAAUGAUUUCAAAGCUAAUGGUAAAAUAUGCACUAUUCAGCACCGCUCUGUCGAGAUUUGAAUCAUUAUUUGUCCUCUUUGUCUGGACAGACUGUAGGGUUAAAUGGCUGGGGUUUUUGAAACAAAAGAUUUAUACUCCAUUUUCUUUGUACUAUCCAUCCACGCCUCCUGUAAUAGGAGCCGGUUGAAAGCUCUAUGUCUGGGUUGUCAUUUCUCUUGCACAGUAUAUAUUAGAGUCCAAACGACCUCUACACCAUCAAGGUUCUAUAAACCUUAAAUUUAAGCUACCUUCUCCACCAAAGUACCUAAAACAAUAACUUUUUUAUGUUGCAACAAACAUUACAGUUAAUGAGUACAGUGCACAUGUAAUGAUACAGUGAAUCAGUGUGAAGCCUCAAAUAAUGAUUUCUGUUGGCACUAUAAAAGGAAUGUAAUUUUUCUUGUUGAAAUACCAUUUUUCAGUUACUGCAUGAGUGAUGUGGUAAUUAUCCCCUACACCUGGGAUUUAAAUCCAAUCCUACAAGCCCAUUUUCUGUUUGCAAGCUGUCAGGCUGAUGCAUAGGCUUUGUUCUUAUCUGGCAGUAGGCAAGGAAUCGGUAAUUCAGAAACAACAAAGCCACUGAUGGGUCAUCAUGUAAUCUGCACUGAAAAUUGCAAUCUGUAAUGAGAUUGGAAACGCAGAUGAGGUGACUAAAAUUGAUUACCUACUAUAUCUGAAAAUUUCAAUUUUAUUGCACAAAUAUGAUCAAACUAGUCCAUAAGUUUGGGGAUUAGUUGAGAAAGAAUAAAGAUUACUUUUAAAUUAGGUGAAUGCAGAUAAGUUAUUUAAAUGUAAAUUAUUUGCUUUAUAGCAAUAUGGUUGGUCUGCAGGGUGAUUCAUAUGGCUACAUAUUUUAAGCUCCCCGAUGGCAUCAUUUCUGCCUGGGAGUUCCAAUUAGAGAUGACAUAUACACUUUCAGCUCUUAAAAGUAGUACAGCAAAGCAGACCAUGAAUGAAACUCAUACCAAUCCCCAAGCCAUAAAAAUUCACCUUUCAUAUGCUUAUUAUGGGAAAAAAUAACAUCUAGAAGUCCUGGGAGCUUUAAAAAACAAGUAGCAGACUGUGCUUGGAGUAUUUGAAAACAUCUUCCACUCCCCCUCGCCCCCAAUGCACACAAACUGUUUUCCAAAAGGUCAGACUUUGUGGAUUUAGCUCAGGAGUCAAGAUGACAGGUUCAAUCCCUUGCUUCCAAUAGGAGCCGUGGACUUUAUAUAAUCUUAGAACCACAAGAGAUAUUGGUGAUAUUCUGGGCCAACUUUCCAGCUACUAUAAAGAUCUCUUCAUUUCUUGUCAGUAACAUGAUAAUAAUUUCUAUCUCUGGAAAUCUGGCAGAUCUCAAUGUUCUUGAAACAAAUGGUAUAUCUAAUAAAGAAUCUUUAUUAUGACACAUUUUCUAAAAUGAAUUACAAUAUGCUCACAUAAUGCCACCAAAAUAUUUCACCUCUUUGUCUAGCUCCUAGAAAGAAUCCAUUAGGGGGGAACGAAGAGACUUAAGAGAUUAAUUUCUACUUGAGAGAACAUCCUCUAGGAAAAAUACAUGUCAUCAAAGCUCAACUUUCUUUGUCUUUUUGGGUUGUCAAGGAAAAAAAAAUUUCCAUCCUGUGGGCUGUAGCUGCUCUUGCAGCUGCAAAAGUUUCUUCUCCUCUUGAAAGUCAUUACCAAUAGAUUAUGAAACAAGGGUUCCCCUCUGAUUGUUGUAUUCAUGAUCUUAUAUAAGACAGCUGAGGAGCUGGAAGGUCACAUUAGUGAAGUGCUUGGUCACGUGCGCUAAAUUACUCUUCGGCAGGAAUUUUAUAUUCUGAAUCUUUUCAGAGCUUCACUAGUCUCCUGCCCAGUGUACACUGUUCCUAGGCCUAUUUUCAUAACCUGGCCCUCUUCAGAAGGAAAAUUCCUAGGAAAAAAAAUGUGUUUUUAUUAUUAGUUUUGUUUUGCUUUGUUUUUGCUUUGGUCUUACAUCCCGACUUUUCUGCUCAGUUCCUCUGAAACCCAGAGAGAGCCCAGUGGCACCUAACACAAGAAAUAUACAUUGACAUUGAUCUACAAAUCCCAAAAGAAUGACCGAAGCUCUAGUGACUCAAAUUUGCUGGGCUUUGCUAUUUUCUUAACCACCAUGUACACUCUUCUCUUCUAAAAGAGAAAGGAAAGAAUGGAAAGAGAUGCUUAUUUAUAAACUAUGAAAAGUUUACAUUCCAAGCACCAUCUUCACAGAACUGCUUUUGUUAUUCUUGCUCUUCUUUCAAAAUGUAAACUCCUUCUGCAAUGAACUUACUUUUUUAUAUUCAUUCUUCUCUUCUGAAAAUCUCAAUAUUGUUUUACAUGUAGAAAAGUAAUAUGCUCCUCAUUUCAAGCAUCCAUAUCUCACAUUUGAAGCACAUAAACAAAAAAGAUGUCAGCUGUCCCUGCACCCAUGCAAAUUUCACACCCAGCCCCUCUUUUUCAAUGAAACUGCUUUCUUAGUGAACCUUAGUCAAAGACACUGUAGUCAGUCUCUAAUCUGGAGGGUGGCAAUAGCUCUGUUUCCCAUCAUACAUCUCUAAAAUGCAUUCUCCAUAAAACUGUCAGUUAUCCUUUUAAAACACAAACUUGGUGCCAUUCUUGUGUUUAAAUCCCUCCAGUGGCUUCAUAUCACACUGAAAAUAAAUUCCAAACAUCUUACACUGGCCUACAAUAUUAUGGACUCUGCCAACCUCAUCUCAUAUAAUUCUCAGCCUUGCUCACUGUGCUAUUGCCAGGCUUGGCAUCUUUGAACUUUACCAGCUUUUUCUUGCAAUAGGAACUUUGCUGUAACUUACCUGCUUUUUGUUCCUGGUUCCUUCUGGUCAGUCAGAUUACAGCCAAGUUAUCCCUCCCUCAGGCCUUCCUUGUCCCCACCUCCCCUCCAAUCCAAUCCAAAAUAUCCACGAGUCACUUUAUAUUCACACAUUCUCUUCAAAUUCCUGAAUAGUAUCUAACAUUUCUGGUACUUAUUAUUUUUUCUCUUCCAACUCAAUUUUAAGUUGUAUGAGAGCUGGGACCUAGUUUGUCUUAUCUCUAAGACCUAAGCUUUGAAAUUGCCUAACACAUGGUACACACUUAAUAAAGAUGUUAGAAUAAAUAUCAGUCCUUAUCUCCUACUCAUUUUACCCAAUUACUUUUUCUCACAGUUUUUUAAUAAUUGUUUUCCCAUAUGCAGAACUGAUGCUGUUGACAUCUCCCUUCCUGAAAUUCUCUUGGCUUUUGAAUUCUAUGUUACACAUAUUGGGUUUUCUUUCUACAUUUUCAUUUCCUUUUCUAGUCCUGUAAUUAAAAUGCUGAGUUUCUUCAAGAUACUUAACUGGCCUUUUUUUUCUUUCUCACUGUCUUUCUUGAAUAUUUCCAAUACUUUUAUGGCUCCAAUGAUUAUGUCAAAGAAAAACUGCACUAGACAAGUUAAACAGGCUUUAUUUAAGACUAUUAUAAUAGGAGAGAGAGAUUGAACUCAAAUCCACUAAAACAAAAGGCAGGAGAGUUUUAAGCUCUGGGAUGAGCUAGUGGAAAAGUGCUGGAAGAUGUGAAGAGGGAGAAUGGUCAAUGGGAUUAGGCCAUUAUUGUUUGCUAAUUGGUAUUUAUUAAAGUUAGGCUCCUACUUUCCCACAGAGAUUGAGAGAUAAUGUCUCUGUCUUUCUGGAUGGUUACAUGUCAAAGGGAUGGCUCCCAAAUCAUUGAAAAAGCCAUUUCUCAGUUGUAAAACUGGCAAGAGGUUGGGAGAAGAGUUACAUCUCAAAGCGGCAGAAGGGGAAUUUACAAUUGCAUUUUCUAAA
rnacentral:lncRNA from 10 species